UACGAAGGGGGCUAGCGUUGCUCGGAAUCACUGGGCGUAAAGGGUGCGUAGGCGGGUCUUUAAGUCAGGGGUGAAAUCCUGGAGCUCAACUCCAGAACUGCCUUUGAUACUGAAGAUCUUGAGUUCGGGAGAGGUGAGUGGAACUGCGAGUGUAGAGGUGAAAUUCGUAGAUAUUCGCAAGAACACCAGUGGCGAAGGCGGCUCACUGGCCCGAUACUAACGAUGAGGCACGAAAGCGUGGGGAGCAAACAGG
rnacentral:rRNA from 1 species